rnacentral:lncRNA from 10 species
GGCAGGUUCUGUAGACUCUACCCUGCCUGUAAUAUUCUGUAAUAACUACACUCCCUCCCACUUUUCUAUCUUUCAGCUGCUGCAAAAAGUCAAUCCUGGAGCUCAUUUGCUCUUCACUUGACAUAAGUGCUUCCUUUGGUAUUAAUUUUUUUUUUUUUUGCACCAGUGAAGGUUCUUACUUGAAACUGAUUUAACAUAUUAAGGAAAGGGAUCAAUUGAAAGAAUGUUGGGUAGCUCACAGAUGACUGGGAAGUCUGCUUUGGAUGCCUGCUGGAACAAUGGAGGUUGAGAAACAGCUAGGACCCCAGCUGAAAUCAUGCCUGUCUGAGUCGGAAAUUCACUCUAAACAGGAGAAGCAGCAAUGAGAACUUCAAGAAGAGAUAUAAGCUCAUCCAAGAUCAACUGCAGAGGAGGACGAGGGAAAUUUUAUAUGGGAACAAUUAUCUGAAAAAUAGAAUGUCCUCAUUUGUAUGGUCAAGGCUGGGUUGCAGAGAAGUCCAUGUUGCAGCUCAUGGAAAAAAAGAACCAAAGGGACUCAAGAACACUGGCUUAUGUCUUAGAUUGGAGAUGACCUGGAAAGUCAACUUUCACCCAUAACCCAUUGGCCUAAAACAAUAGAAGGCAACUGGAAAAGAGGCAAGGAUUCUAACUACAUACUGCAGAAAAAAUAUUCACACCUGUCAAAUUCCAACAGCUGGCAUUGUUGUUGUUCUACGAAUAAGCACACACAGAAUCCUCGUGAAUAGUUCUUUGUCUCUUGCUCUAGUAAAUCAUAACCUGCUUGUAGCUUUUUUAUGAACCUUCAGGAAUAACUCUUCAGAGGAUGCUAAUACAUCAUUAAGAUUAAAUUGAACCUCAAAGGUGGGUUUUUUUUCCAAAAUGAUAAAGGCCACCAACACUGCAAGGUUUGCCGUCAUUCCCUUGAUCUGGUAAGUGACACCGUCUUCAGGGUUUGUGUACUCAAAGAUAUGAUUAAUAAAACGGUGACCAAGACGUGUGACGUAAUGCUGGUCAUGGACCUGUGGAUGCAGGAAAUAGGCCAGAGGCACCAGGAAUACAUCCUUAACUUCAGCAGGAUUCGGCUGGGCCUGGAAGUUGUGGUCUAUUAAACCCACAAAUGGAGUUAUCAAUGUAUCUGUCUAAAAGCAGAAAACAAAACAGACAAAUUAAGAAGUGAAGUGAUACUGCUUCAAAUCCUAAAAUCAUGCCACUUCUAGGUGAGCUAAGAAAAUACACCGAACCUGGGAGAAGGGGAAGAAAGCUUAUUCCGGAAACAAAUUUAUGUUCCCCCUAAAAUGGGAGUCAUCCUGCUCUACCUGAGGUGACAUCUAUGAGAUGACUCUGAAAAUGAUUUCUUGUAUGAACAUAAAGUAGUACAAUCUUUUGGAAUGGCAAUUUGGCAGUAUCAUAAAAAUGUGUUCGCUUUGACCUGGGAAUUGCAUUUGUGUAUCUGUAUGAUAAAUUCCUACCAGUAAGAAAAGACACAAGUAUAAACCUGAAGAAUUAGUUUCAACAACAGCCCCAAAUUCUAAAGUUAUCACUCUUCACUUUAUAGGCAUUUAGGUUAUAUAAAUUAGGGUUAUAUCCAUAAAAGAGGAUACUAUGUAGCCUUUAAAAACAAUGGGAUAGACAUCUUUCCUUCUCAGUAAAGAAAAAAAUGUGCUAUACUUAUGAACAGAAAAGUAAAGUGAUAUAAUACUAGUUAUGACAUAUUCCCAUUUAUGGAAAAAUUUCAUAGUACAUACACAUAUAUAUAUAAUUAUGUGUCUUAUAUAUAACUAUAUGUGAACUACUUUAUAUAACACACAUGUAUAUAUUACAUGGGAGAGGGAUUUCUAUUUACAACCACAACUGCUUGCAAAUGAACAUGAGUGGCCGGGUGUGGUGGCUCACGCCUGUAAUCCCAGCACUUUGGGAGGCUGAGGUGGGCGGACCACCUGAGGUCAGGAGUUUGAGACCAGCCUAGCCAACAUGAUGAAAUCCCGUCUCUACUAAAAAUACACAAAUUAGCCGGGUGUGGUGGUGCGUGCCUGUAAUCCCAGCUACUCAGGAGGCUGAGGCAGGAGAAUUGCUUGAACUUGGGAGGCGGAGAUAGAUUGCAGUGAGCCGAGAUCAUGCCACUGCACUCCAGCCUGGGUGACAGAGAGAGGCCCAGUCUCAAAAAUAAAAAUAAAUAUAUAAAAGUAAAAAAGCAAAUGAACAUGAGUGUUGUCAAAUGAAAGACUGUUUUGUUAUACUGGAAACCCUGAGAGGGAGGCCUGGGGCUGAGUGAGGAUGUGGGAACUGGUAAGAGCUGCCUGCCUUUGUAUUAGAAAGUGAGAAGAACUGGAAUUCCUGGAGCAUCCCAAGAGGAAGUGGGUGGAAAAAGCCAGAGAGGUAGACACAUGGUGAGGCUGGGACCUAUCCGGCCUGCAGAAUGUUCUGAGGGACAGCCAAAGACAGGAAACCAAAUUUAGGAACAGAGACAACUCAGACCAUUAACCAAAAUAAUAGUGAAAGUCAACAUUUGGACCAGGAGGAGACAAGAGGAACAUAGACUUCGUAUGUCCUUGGGGCAGGAAAUUUGGGGUCAUUAAGUUACCCGAGGGCAGAGGCAACAUUCUACCAGCACGUAACACCACACCUGGCAUUGGGGAAAUGCUUAGUCUCUGAAUAUGGAGUUUUCCAGGUGGACUCUGAGAUAAGGACUCAGAUGCAAGUGAUUUUUUAAGAAAGUGCUCCCAGGGGAAACAGUUAAGGGGAAGAGGGGAGCAAUACUCAUAAGGGAAGAAGGCUGGCAAGGGCACCAUGGGGUGUUCUGGAGGGUAAAUUAAUAUGCAGUUUGUCCCACAUGGAGACAAGGGAGCUGGGAUUUCAUGCUCCCCAGCCCCAGUCAGUCACUGGUUAAGGACUACCUUGCCAGAGGUGAAUUCACAGGCACUCCCAGCUCUCUGUGCAGGACACAUGGCAAGGUGGCUCCAGUAUCAAGGGUACCAGUAUUCAGAAGAAAGCUGCCAAGUGUUGUCAGAGGCGUUUGAACCAGAGCAACUCCAUCUUGAAUAGGGGCUGGGUAAGAUAAGGCUUGGAGCUACUGGGCUGCAUUCCCAGGAGGUUAGGGCAUGCUUAGUCACCAGAUGAGACUGAGAUACAAGUCAUAAAGACCUUACAGUAAAGAAGGCCAUCAAAACGCACCAAAACCAAGAUGGCAAUGAAAGUAACCUCUGGUCAUCCUCACUGCUCAUUAUACGAUAAUUAGAAAGCAUUAGAAUGUUAAAAGAUACUCCCACUAGUGCCAUGACAGAUUACAAAUGCCACGGCAAUGUCAGGAAGUUACCCUACAUGGUCUAAAAAUGGGAGGAACUCUCACCUCUGGGAAUUGCCCAUCCCUUUCCUGGAAAACUCAUGAAUAACCCACCCCUUGUUUAGCAUAUGAUCAAGAAAUAACCAUAAAAAUGGCCAACCAGCAGCACAUGCUGUUGCUCUGUUAUGGAAUAGCCAUUCUUUUUUUUCUUUACUUCUCUAAUAAACUUGCUUUCACUUUAUGGACUCACCCUGUGAGAUCCUAGAACCCUCUCUUAGGGUCUGGAUCAGGCCCCCUAUCUGGUAACAGUGAGUUAUCAGAAGCCCUGGGGUUGUAAGAGGAAUAUGAAGGGGCCUGGACAGAGCCCCAACAAUGUAUGCUCAGUAAAUAUUCGUGGUUGCUGCUACCAUUGGUGACCACAACUUACGGGCACCUAGUCUAGUUCCCAGCACCCUCUGAUUCCUUACAACAAUCUGAUCGCGAAGAAGCCUUAACAACUACAAUUAGAGACGUGAAGAAACUUGCCCAAGGGCAUAUUCUGCUGAUACUUGGCAGAAACUGGAUUCGACCACAGAUGUGUUGCUCAUACUCCUGGGUAUAUUUCAGAGACCUUUGCAAAAAGUAGUACAUAAAUGUCUGACAAAAGGGAAAACUGGGGUGGGGGUUGUGGUGUCACAGCCUGCCUGGAAGGCUUAUGUAGCGGGUACAUACAUAGGUGCAUACAUACAUAGGUAGCUACUCUGGAGGCUGAGGCAGGAGAAUUGCUUGAACUUGGGAGGUGGAGGUUGCAGUGAGCUGAGAUCACUGGGACUCGAGAUCACUUGAGAAAAGCCAAUAGCACCCUUCCACUCCCAGCUAUGAUCUCCAGACAUUACCAAAUUCCCCAGGGUUGAAAAAUCACUCCAGGUUAAGAGCCACGUAGAUUAGAUUAUGCUUAUAAUUUUCAAUAAAUGGCAUUUUUGUGAUACAUUUUAAAAAUUAGCAGGGGCCAAAAAACAAAGCAACCCUCCCUUGCACUUCCAAACAAAGCAGACUUUUUAAAGCCUUUGUUUAAUCUCUCAAUCACGCCAUUUUAGAAAUCUCCUGUUCCAGGAGUAUCUGGCCCCCAGGAAUCUCCCAGAGACACUUUCCUGUUAAUGCUCCUGAAUUCUAUCCACCCACAUGCAGAACUCAGUAGCACCUGGGGACCUUGGGAACAGAGUUAGUCUCAUUUUGGAAACUUUUAAUCAGUAUAGCUAAAUUAGUUAAUUGAUUUCUAAAGUAAAUCCUCCAAAUGCUGGUGGAUUUGCGGAAAUCAACUGUAAAGAGUUCCCAUUAGAAAACCAAAUGGAAAAGUAAUUGACACAUUUCGUGUGUAAUCCCAUGUCUCCAUCUCGCUUUCAUACACACACACUUAGAAAACAUUUAUUGAGUGGCCACUAGCUUUUUGCAAACAAAACCACCCUUGGGUACUGACCUUUCUAUUUUUAAAAAGGACCCAAUUAAGACAGACAUUGUCUCAGCAUCACUGAUCUUCAAAACACUGCCCCACCAAGACUUCAGUCAAGUGGAACAUAAAGGAUCAUCUAACCCACUGGUUUUCUAAGUGUUAGGCAACAGUGGGACU